rnacentral:miRNA from 1 species
UGUGUAUGUGUGUGUAUGUAUGUGUAUACACACACACACACACACACACACACGCACACACACACAC